GCCGUAAGUGUUUAAAAGGGAACCGGGUGCAAAUCCCGGGCAGUCCCCGCUGCUGUAAGCUUCGUUAUCGUUGUGCCACUACGCCACUGUCGGGAGAUGAUGGGAAGGCGGCACGAACGGGAAGUAAGCCAGAAGACCUGCCAAAGCGGUUU
rnacentral:ncRNA from 1 species